ensembl:lncRNA
AUAGCUAAAUGAAUUUACGCAUAUCAGUAAGAAAGUUGCCUGGAAGAAUAUCACCAAACUCAGGUGGAUGGAUGGAAAGUGGACACUGAGAGGGUCUGACUCCUUCCCUUUUAUGUUACACUUAUAAAUCUUAGAAGUAAAAUUAGUUUACAGAUUUUUCUGCUAACAUCCAAUCCUCAAACCAGCACUUAUUCCACUUGGUCAGCAUUUUUCUCUCUUCCUAAAAACUACUCUCCAUCCAAAAUAAAUAUUUCUACUGUGCCACAAAACAAAUUAUUCAGCUUUAAAAUUGCAAAGCCUUUGCCAUAUAGUAAAUUCCGCUAAACCAUGGCAAAACUCCAUCUUCAGUUCAGAAAAACAUUUAUUUGGCCCCAGUGGGAAUUUAUAAAUAAACUGACCAACAUAGAAUCCUAAAAAAAUUUCAAGUAUUCCCAGGAAAAUAAGAAAAGAUAAACAGAGAGACAAAAGCUACAAGAACAAACAGAAAACAAGCAAUGAAAUGAAAGAUUAAAGCCGUAAGAUAUCAAUAAUUACUUUAAAUAUAAAUGGUCUAAAUACACCAGUUGAAAGACAAAGAUUGGCAGAAUUAAUUUAAAAAUAUUAGGCCCAGCUACAUGCUGUUUAUAAGAAAUUCACUGAAAACUCAAUGACAAAGGUUAAAUGUAAGUAAAAAUAUGGGGAAAAAUAUGUCAUGCAAACAUUAUUUAUUUUAAAAAGCAUCAGUAGCUAUGCUAUACCACACAAAACAGACUUAAGAACAAAUAUAAUUGUUAGAGAUGAAGAGGAAUGUUACAUAAUGAUAGUAGGAUCAAUCUAUCAAAAAGAUAUAAUGAUUCUAAAUAUUUAUGCUCAAAAACCAGAGAUUUAAAAUAUAUGAAGCAAAUUGAUAAAGAAAAAAGAAGAAAUAAAUAAAUAUAUGAUUAUAGUUGGCAAUUCUAACACCCACUCAGCAAUUGAUAAAACUACCAGACAGAAAAUUAGUAAAGAUAUAGGAAAACUCAACAACACAAACAACACAUUCAGACAACAGGAACUAAUUGACAUGGAUAAAUAUCCAACAGCAAAUUGCACAUUCUUUUUUAGCACCCAUGGAAUAUUCACCAAGAUAGGCUGUAUCCUGGGCCAAAAAAUAAACUUCAACAAUUUAAACUAAAUGAAAUCAUAUAGAGUGUGUUAUUUAAGAUACUAGAAUCAAACUAAAAUCAAUAAUAGAAAGACAAUAGGAAAAUCUCUGUAUAUGUGGCAAGUAAGCAAUAUAUUUCUAAAAAACCCAUAACACAAAAGGGAAGACCAAAAGAAAAUUAAAAAUAUGUAAAGCCAUAGAACUGAGUAAAAAUGAAAAUACAAAAUAUCAAAGUAAAUGGGACAUAGCUAAAGCAGUGCUAAGAAGGAAACUUAUACCACUAAAUGAUUACAUUAGAAAAGAGGAAAGAUCUCAAAUCAAAAGUAUAAGUUUCUACAUCAAGAACCAAGAAACAAAGAGCAAAAUAAAUUCAAAACAAGCAGAAGGAAGGAAAUAUAAAGAUAGAACAGAAAUCAAGAACUUGAAAACAGGAAAACAUAGAAAAAAAUCAUUGAAACAGAGUUGAUAUUUUGAGAAAAUGAAUAAAAUUAUUAAACCUUUAUCAAGACUAACAAUUAUAAAAAGAGAGAAGAGUAGGAAAAUUCAACCAAGAUGAAAUGGACAGUCUGAAUAGUCUUAUAAAGUUAAAGAAAUUGCAUAUAUCAUUAACAAGAUCCCCCAAAUAAAUCUCUGGGUGCUCACGGUUUUACUUCAGAAUAUUACCAAAUAUUCAAAGAAAAAUUAACACCAAUUUUACACAAUAGAUUCCAGAAAAUAGAAGAGGAAAUACCUUCCAAUUCAUUUUAUGAAGCUGCUCUUACCCUAUUACCAAACAGAACAAAGACUUGGAAAAAAAUAAUUACAGACGAAAAUCUUCCAUCACCUUAGAUGCAAAAGUCCUCAAGAUAAUAUCUGCAAAUUGAAUCCAGUAAUAUAUAAAAAGAAUUAUAAAUCUCAUGGCCCAAUGAGACCUUUUCUAGGUGUGCAAGUCUGGCUCAACAUUCAAAGAUCAGAUAAUGUAAUGCUCUAUAGUAGAGGCUACAACGAAAAAUUGUAUGAUCAUAUUAAUUGACACAUAAAAAGCAUUUGGAAGAAAAUCCAAUAUCCUUUGACAAUUUUCAGCAAACUAGAAAUAUCAUCAGAAUUUGAAAAAGAGAAUCUGAUAACAAACAAAAAAUCUACAGCAAACAUCUUAUUUAAUGGUGAAAGAUAAUGCUUUCUCCUUAAGAUCAGGAACAAAGCAAGAAUGUCUGCUUUCACACUGCUAUUCAACAUAAUUCUGGACUUUCUUGCCAUUGCAGUGGAAAUAAUACUGUCUACAUUUGCAGAUGACAUGAUUGUCUACAUAGAAAAUCUCAAGGAAGCUAAAAUAAACAAACUCCUAGAACUGCUAUGUGAGUUGAGAAAGGUAGAAGGAUACAGGACCACAAAAAUCAAUUGUAUGUCCUUACGCUACCAGCCAACAGAUGAAAACUACAGUUAGAGGGAUAAUACCAUUUGCAAUUGUUCCAAAAAAAUAGAAAUAUUUGGGUAUAAGUCUAAUAAAAUGAAAGUAUAAUUUUCAUCCUUAAAAUUACUAAAUGGUCAUGAAAGAAAUUUUAAAAAAGCAAAGUAAAUUAAAAGACACAUCAUGUUCCCGUAUUGGGAGACUCAACAUAGCAAAGACACCAAUUCUCCUCAAAUUGAUAUGCAAGGUUAACGUGAUUCCUAUCAAAAAAAGCCAAGGAAGGUUUUUGUAGACACAGGUAAACUUAUUCUAAAAUUUAUGUAGAAAGUAACAGGCCCUAGAACAUCUAAAACAAUGUUGAAAAAGAAGAAUAAAAAGGGAGGAAUUAUUCUAGCCAAUAUUAAGUCGUACUAUAUAGCUGCAGUAAUCAAUAGCAUCGAUGUAACAGUAGAAACACAGGUCAACGGAAGAGACUAAAGAACCCCAAAAUAGACCACACUAAUAUUCCUAACUGCUUUUUGACAGAGGUGCAAAACAAUUCAAUGGAGGAAAGGUGGGCUUUUCAACAAAUGGUGCUAGAGCUAUUGGAAAUCCAUCAGCAAAAAUAAAUGAACAUCGAUGUAAGUUUCACACCCUAUAAAAAACUAACUCAAAAUGGAUGACAGACAAUGUAAAGUGUAAAAGUAUAAAAAUUUUUAGAAAAAAGACACUGGAGAAAAACUGGCU